UACGUAGGGUGCGAGCGUUGUUCGGAUUCACUGGGCGUAAAGGGUGCGUAGGCGGUCGGGUAAGUCUGACGUGAAAUCUUCAAGCUCAACUUGGAAACUGCGUCGGAUACUAUUCGGCUAGAGGAAUGGAGGGGAGACUGGAAUACUUGGUGUAGCAGUGAAAUGCGUAGAUAUCAAGUGGAACACCAGUGGCGAAGGCGAGUCUCUGGACAUUUCCUGACGCUGAGGCACGAAAGCCAGGGGAGCAAACGGG
rnacentral:rRNA from 1 species